ACCUAAAAAGCUAGCUCACCCCACCCCUCAACCCACUCUAACCCACCCACCAACACAAAGUUAACAAAACAUUUUACCCCCUAAGUACGGGCGACAGAAAAGGAAAGCCGAAGCAAUAGAAAGAGUACCGCAAGGGAAAGCUGAAAGAGAAAUGAAACAACCACCCCAAGCCACAAAAAGCAGAGAUUACACCUCGUACCUUUUGCAUCAUGAUUUAGCAAGCACAACCUGAGCAAAGAGAACUUUAGUUCAGCCCCCCGAAACUAGACGAGCUACUUCAGGACAGCCUAUACAAUAUCCGUAGGGCGCACCCGUCUCUGUCGCAAAAGAGUGGGAUGAUCCUCAAGUAGAGGUGAUAAACCUAUCGAGCCUAGUAAUAGCUGGUUGUCUAAGAAAUGAAUAUAAGUUCAGCCUCCCGAACCCCCGCCCCCCAUCCACGACGCAUGUCUCACUAGACCAAGGGCGACCGAGAGAGUUAGUCAAAGAGGGUACAGCCACUUUGAAAAAGGACACAACCUCCCCGAGAGAGAAAAGAUCAUUAUCACCCCAAGGAAACUUAUUUUAGUAGGCCCAAAAGCAGCCACCUAGAAAGAAAGCGUUAUAGCUUCUAUAAACCCCACCCUUAAAUACCGAACACAGUUCUCCACUCCUCAGCCCACUAUUAGACCCUCCUAUAAACCCUAGGAGAGACCCUGCUAAAAUGAGUAAUAAGAGUAAAUGCCCCUCUCCCCACAUGUGUUUAAAUCGGAACGGACCCUCCACCGAUAAUUAACGAACCGCCCACGAGGGAAGUGCUACACCACAUAAAUGACUAGAAAAUUAAGCACCCCCACUCGUUAACGCAACACAGCUAUGUGCCCCCGGAAAGACUAAAAUAAAGAGAAGGAACUCGGCAAACACAAGCCUCGCCUGUUUACCAAAAACAUCGCCUCUUGCAAAACGAACAAAUAAGAGGUCCCGCCUGCCCAGUGACAAAUGUUAAACGGCCGCGGUAUUUUGACCGUGCAAAGGUAGCGCAAUCACUUGUCUUUUAAAUGAAGACUAGUAUGAAUGGCAUCACGAGGGCUUAACUGUCUCCCCUUUAAAGUCAAUGAAAUUGAUCUCCCCGUGCAGAAGCGGGGAUAUGCUCGUAAGACGAGAAGACCCUAUGAAGCUUAAGACUUAAAGUCACCCAUUGUUAAAUACCCGUUAAAGGAAGAAAACAAGUUGGACCUUACUGACAUGUCUUCGGUUGGGACGACCGCGGAGAAAAACAAAACCCCCGCGUGGACCAAGGCCACCCACCUCCAAAAUAGACCCACAGGUCAAAUUAACAGAACUUCUGACCAUAAAGACCCGGCACAGCCGACUAACGAACCUAGUUACUCUAGGGAUAACAGCGCAAUCCCCUCCUAGAGUCCUCAUCGUCGAGGGGGUUUACGACCUCGAUGUUGGAUCAGGACAUCCUAAUGGUGCAGCCGCUAUUAAGGGUUCAUUUGUUCAAUGAUUAAAGUCCUACGUGAUCUGAGUUCAGACCGGAGUAAUCCAGGUCGGUUUCUACCUACGCAUUGUUCUUUUUUAGUACGAAAGGACCAAAAAGAAGAAGCCUCUGCACACAACACGCUUCAUCUCCCACUGCUGAAUUCAAAUAAAACAGCUAAGAGACACAAUCCCUAUACACUAGACAAGUGUUUA
rnacentral:rRNA from 1 species